rnacentral:lncRNA from 1 species
UUUCCACCUCCCGAGUGAGGUUCUUAUGAGUUUGCUCCCUCUUGUUUAUGAUAGAACAUUGAGGAAAAUGUUUGGCUGAAGUUCCACGGGAGGGGGGGUACUUCUUUACUUUUCUUGCAUUUUUACUUUCUUUAACUUUUAUGUUCAUGUUUUCUUUCUUAUUUUUAGCUAUUUCUAUUUUAUUUCUUUCAAAAGAUCGCCUUUUCGUAGU